CUCCAUUGCUUCACUGAAUCUUCAAGUGCGAGUUUUCGGAUGGGUCCCACAACCUAGCUGCCCAGCGCUCAACGUCUACGAUAGCUCUCCGAGUACCACCUUAUCUCUCUCUCUCUAGCCUCCUCCUCCCUCCCUCCUUCUCUCUAGCUCUCUGUGCACCACGCCUAUAGUGAAGCAAAAAAAAUGGCGAGAGGAAAGGGGGAGAAGACAGUAUUUAUAGAGUGAGAAGUAAGGACAAGGGCGGACCUGCCCACUGUCAAAAAUUAUUGCAGCCCAAAACGACGACGUUUGGGUCAGUGUAAUAUAUAUAUUUCUUUCCCGUUGCUUCUUCAAUCUUACGCAGACCGCGGCCAGCAGCUCUUCAUCGAAGAUUUGCAGAUUCGCAGCUCAUUACUCCACGCCUCCAUCGACCACCUUCGUCCGGCUAUUCUCCUCCGUGGCUCCGUCCGUUCACCAUUAUAGAUUUACAGCUUCAGCUAGUCAUGGGUUUGGAGCGACAUCAUCGACGGGAAAUCGAUUUGCUCCGGCGAAGCAUUGCACUUAGGAGAUGAAGCGAGGUUUAUUUAUAAAGCUCAAGUGAACGAUCAAGUUAGGGCUGAAGUGCUUUUGAAGGGAAUUCGGGUUAGCUCACUCUGAAAAGUUCGAAGUAGCGAAUUUUCUCCCAGAUUUGACAUCUAAUCAGCUCUAAAGCUUGAGUAUGGAAUCAGCAGUUAAGAAAUAUCAGCAAAGAUUCAGAAAAGUGAAGGAUGAGAUUGAUAGGUGGGAGGAGCUUCAUACUAGACUGCUUUCCCAAUUCACAAACGCUUCCUCUAUCAUCCAGAGAUUGCAGGUGAUUCAAGGUUCAAAAAACUAUGGUGCCUUGAAAUGUAUUCAAGGGAAGGAUUUCAUUCCAUUGUUUUAUCAUUUGAGAAGAUUGUUCGUGAUAGUAGACAGCAAGUAAAAGGCGGGUCAGCUCAACCAACUGUGAAACAGUUGCAGCAACGAAUUGGCGUCAAACCAAGCCUUGCAGAUUGCUUAGAUGGGCUUACUAUACUUAGUGAGAUGCACCAAUCAGAGUACCGUCUUAAAUUGUCUCUGGUAUCAGCAACUUCAACACUUGCAUUGAAACCUAGUGUUACUGAUGAUUUAAGUGUCCUCCAGCAGCUUUUGGUAGAUCAGCCUAACAUCCCUAAAGAGGAAGUGCAAUUUAUAUUUGACAUCAUUUUUGCUGAAGACAUUUGUUGAUGCUCACAACUUGAGAGGGUGGUAAAAAUCUUGAAAUUGGCAUGAGGUGAAUGACUCAGUUGUAGAGCAGAGAAGUUUAACAUGGCUACCAACAAGGAACGGGAAAUACAUAUCGACCAUGAGAAUUGCAGAACACCUUUCUGGCAUAUUUGCGGUUCAGCAUAUACUUACCUAUCCUAUUCCCUUAUUUGUAGGAUUUGAUUUUCUGUGGCAGGCCACACAUUGCAUUUGAUUGGGAUGAUCAAAAAAAUUAAUACACUAUUAACAUCUAAUUAUGAAUCACAUAUACAAUAUGAUUAUCAAGUUGUGGUGUUGUUGCACUUUAUCCAGACUGCAUUGCUUGUGCUUGGCUUUAGAAUGGUAAUUUGUGUGCUGAAAUCCGAUGAAGAAAUCCUAUUAUGCAAGUGCCGUAUGACAACCCAAUUUGAGAUUGGGUGUUUGAUAUGAAAUAGGUGUCUGAGGAUUCUUUUUCUUAGAUGUUUGCCAAUGGCCUGUUUUAAUUUCUUUUUCAUAUAGUGAGUUCUUUAAACACUCUUUUUUAGUGAGCUAUUAGAAUACUAGUUUUGCAUUUAGAAUGGUUCUUCAAUUCUAUAAAGCUUUUAACAAAAUUUAUAUUUUCAGCUCUCUAAUGGAAUCUUCUUGAUCUUGUUCUUGGUUUUCUAUUGCUCAACAGAGAAAUGGCGAAAAUUAUUGGCAGAGUUGAAUCCAGAGCCAGCCCCCAUGAUGAUCAAAAUCAUAUAAUUUAGGGGUUAGGUUUUUGCCUUCUUUAACAAGUGGCAAAGAACAGAAUUUUGGCACGAUAUUUUAUGCCGUGAUUUUUUUAUUUGGUUUGAGACUUUGAGUGAAGUUUGGCCUUGUGGAAUGGAAUUGAGUGCAGGAAUCAUUCAGUUAGGUGAAAAUCUUGUAUAUAUAUUCUUGGAAUAGGAAUUUGUUUUUUUUUUUUUUUUUUUUUUUUUUUGCAUUUCAAGGCCAUUUAACCACAUGCAUCUUUCUUUUGCGUAAGAAAGUGCUCCAAUGUAAAACGGUAAAUGAAGGGGUUGGCAAGUCCCUAUUUUUUUCUCUCUAUUUAUACUUCCAUGCAAUAGGGAUUUUACACUAUAAGCAAUUAAGAGAGAAUUGAAGUUGAGGCUUGAGGCAAGAUAUAUGGGGAAAGAAUUUCUUGAUUACGUAUUGGUUCCGGCAGGCCUCCUUGUGAUGCUGACUUACCACUUAUGGCUUCUCCACCGGAUUCUCAACCACCCCACCCGCACCGUCAUCGGCAUCAACUCCGCCAACCGCGUCUUCUGGGUCCGCGCUAUCAUGGAGGACUGGUCCAAGAAUGGGGUUUUAGCUGUGCAGACACUAAGGAACAACAUAAUGGCGUCGACGCUUCUAGCAUCGGCGGCGAUCAUGCUCUGCUCAGUCAUCGCCGUCAUGAUGACCAACGGCAACGGCGACCGUCCCGUCCGCCUGGUGGUGGGGGACAGGAGCGAGGUGGGCGUCUGCGUAAAAUUCUUCUCAAUCUUGCUGUGUUUCCUGGUAGCCUUCUUCUUCAACGUGCAGUCCGUGAGGUACUACAGCCACGCCAGCAUUCUCAUCAACGUGCCGUACAAGAAAAUCAUGGACGGCGGCGACGACUGCGUCAGCUGCGUGACGGCGGAGUACGUCGGCGGCAUAGUGAACAGAGGAAGCUAUUUCUGGUCUUUGGGGCUGAGGGCUUUCUACUUCUCUCUCCCAUUGUUUCUGUGGAUCUUUGGGCCUAUUCCCAUGUUCUUGACCUGCAUUUUUUUGGUUUUCAUGCUUUAUUUUCUGGAUGUGAUCUUGGAUUUUGGGGGGAUCGCAAUUUCUCCAAAGGACCACUGCAUUACGUCCAAAUGUUAGUUAGUUGAGACCAAAUGUGGGUGCCAAAUUAUAUCGGAC